CCGAAAGUGGUCUAAUACUUCAUAAUAUCCAUCUCGUAUGGAUUAAAGCUUUAUGCGCUUUGGAGGGGCCUGCGUAACAUUAGCUUGUUGGUGAGGUAAAAGCUCACCAAGGCUUCGAUGUUUAACUGGUUUGAGAGGAUGACCAGUCACACUGGGACUGAGAUACGGCCCAGACUCCUACGGGAGGCAGCAGUAAGGAAUCUUCCACAAUGGGGCAACCCUGAUGGAGCAAUACCGCGUGCAGGAUGAAGCGUUUCGGCGUGUAAACUGCUUUUAUCACCGAAGAUUAUGACUGUAGGUGAAGAAUAAGGACCGGCUAACUACGUG
rnacentral:rRNA from 1 species